rnacentral:misc_RNA from 1 species
GAUGAAGAACGCAGCAAAAUGCGAUAAGUAAUGUGAAUUGCAGAAUUCAGUGAAUCAUCGAAUCUUUGAACGCACAUUGCGCCCGCUGGUAUUCCGGCGGGCAUGCCUGUUCGAGCGUCAUUUCAACCCUCAAGCCCCCGGGUUUGGUGUUGGGGAUCGGCUCUGCCCUUCUGGGCGGUGCCGCCCCCGAAAUACAUUGGCGGUCUCGCUGCAGCCUCCAUUGCGUAGUAGCUAACACCUCGCAACUGGAACGCGGCGCGGCCAUGCCGUAAAACCCCAACUUCUGAAUGUUGACCUCGGAUCAGGUAGGAAUACCCGCUGAACUUAAGCAUAUCAAUAGGCGGAGGA